rnacentral:rRNA from 1 species
AGAGUUUGAUCCUGGCUCAGAUUGAACGCUGGCGGCAGGCCUAACACAUGCAAGUCGAACGGUAACAGGAAGCAGCUUGCUGCUUCGCUGACGAGUGGCGGACGGGUGAGUAAUGUCUGGGAAACUGCCCGAUGGAGGGGGAUAACUACUGGAAACGGUAGCUAAUACCGCAUAACGUCGCAAGACCAAAGAGGGGGACCUUCGGGCCUCUUGCCAUCGGAUGUGCCCAGAUGGGAUUAGCUAGUUGGUGAGGUAACGGCUCACCAAGGCGACGAUCCGUAGCGGGUCUGAGAGGAUGAUCCGCCACACUGGGACUGAGACACGGCCCAGACUCCUACGGGAGGCAGCAGGGGGGAAUUUUGGACAAUGGGGGCAACCCUGAUCCAGCCAUGCCGCGUGAGUGAAGAAGGCCUUCGGGUUGUAAAGCUCUUUCAGACGGAAAGAAAUCGGGUGGGUGAAUAUCCUGCCUGGAUGACGGUACUGUCAGAAGAAGCACCGGCUAACUACGUGCCAGCAGCCGCGGUAAUA